UACGGAGGGUGCAAGCGUUAUCCGGAUUCACUGGGUUUAAAGGGCGCGUAGGUGGGCAAGUAAGUCAGUGGUGAAAUCUCCGGGCUUAACCCGGAAACUGCCAUUGAUACUAUUUGUCUUGAGUACUGUGGAGGUCAGCGGAAUAUGUCAUGUAGCGGUGAAAUGCUUAGAUAUGACAUAGAACACCAAUUGCGAAGGCAGCUGGCUACACAAAUAUUGACACUGAGGCACGAAAGCGUGGGGAUCAAACAGG
rnacentral:rRNA from 1 species